GGGUUGUGAGGUUAAGCGACUAAGCGUACACGGUGGAUGCCCUGGCAGUCAGAGGCGAUGAAGGACGUGCUAAUCUGCGAAAAGCGUCGGUAAGGUGAUAUGAACCGUUACAGCCGGCGAUGUCCGAAUGGGGAAACCCAGUGCAAUUCGUUGCACUAUCGUUAACUGAAUACAUAGGUUAACGAGGCGAACCGGGGGAACUGAAACAUCUAAGUACCCCGAGGAAAAGAAAUCAACCGAGAUUCCCCCAGUAGCGGCGAGCGAACGGGGAGCAGCCCAGAGUCUGAAUCAGCUUGUGUGUUAGUGGAACGGUCUGGAAAGUCCGACGGUACAGGGUGAUAGUCCCGUACACCAAAAUGCACAGGUUGUGAACUCGAAGAGUAGGGCGGGACACGUGGUAUCCUGUCUGAAUAUGGGGGGACCAUCCUCCAAGGCUAAAUACUCCUGACUGACCGAUAGUGAACCAGUACCGUGAGGGAAAGGCGAAAAGAACCCCGGCGAGGGGAGUGAAAAAGAACCUGAAACCGUGUACGUACAAGCAGUGGGAGCACCUUCGGGUGUGACUGCGUACCUUUUGUAUAAUGGGUCAGCGACUUAUAUUCUGUAGCAAGGUUAACCGUAUAGGGGAGCCGCAGGGAAACCGAGUCUUAACUGGGCGUUAAGUUGCAGGGUAUAGACCCGAAACCCGGUGAUCUAGCCAUGGGCAGGUUGAAGGUUGGGUAACACUAACUGGAGGACCGAACCGACUAAUGUUGAAAAAUUAGCGGAUGACUUGUGGCUGGGGGUGAAAGGCCAAUCAAACCGGGAGAUAGCUGGUUCUCCCCGAAAGCUAUUUAGGUAGCGCCUCGUGAACUCAUCUUCGGGGGUAGAGCACUGUUUCGGCUAGGGGGUCAUCCCGACUUACCAACCCGAUGCAAACUACGAAUACCGAAGAAUGUUAUCACGGGAGACACACGGCGGGUGCUAACGUCCGUCGUGAAGAGGGAAACAACCCAGACCGCCAGCUAAGGUCCCAAAGUCAUGGUUAAGUGGGAAACGAUGUGGGAAGGCACAGACAGCCAGGAUGUUGGCUUAGAAGCAGCCAUCAUUUAAAGAAAGCGUAAUAGCUCACUGGUCGAGUCGGCCUGCGCGGAAGAUGUAACGGGGCUAAACCAUGCACCGAAGCUGCGGCAGCGACACUAUGUGUUGUUGGGUAGGGGAGCGUUCUGUAAGCCUGCGAAGGUGUGCUGUGAGGCAUGCUGGAGGUAUCAGAAGUGCGAAUGCUGACAUAAGUAACGAUAAAGCGGGUGAAAAGCCCGCUCGCCGGAAGACCAAGGGUUCCUGUCCAACGUUAAUCGGGGCAGGGUGAGUCGACCCCUAAGGCGAGGCCGAAAGGCGUAGUCGAUGGGAAACAGGUUAAUAUUCCUGUACUUGGUGUUACUGCGAAGGGGGACGGAGAAGGCUAUGUUAGCCGGGCGACGGUUGUCCCGGUUUAAGCAUGUAGGCUGGUUAUCCAGGCAAAUCCGGAUAAUCAAGGCUGAGGUGUGAUGACGAGGCACUACGGUGCUGAAGUAACAAAUGCCCUGCUUCCAGGAAAAGCCUCUAAGCAUCAGGUAACAUCAAAUCGUACCCCAAACCGACACAGGUGGUCAGGUAGAGAAUACCAAGGCGCUUGAGAGAACUCGGGUGAAGGAACUAGGCAAAAUGGUGCCGUAACUUCGGGAGAAGGCACGCUGGUGUGUAGGUGAAGUCCCUGCGGAUGGAGCUGAGACCAGUCGAAGAUACCAGCUGGCUGCAACUGUUUAUUAAAAACACAGCACUGUGCAAACACGAAAGUGGACGUAUACGGUGUGACGCCUGCCCGGUGCCGGAAGGUUAAUUGAUGGGGUUAUCCGUAAGGAGAAGCUCUUGAUCGAAGCCCCGGUAAACGGCGGCCGUAACUAUAACGGUCCUAAGGUAGCGAAAUUCCUUGUCGGGUAAGUUCCGACCUGCACGAAUGGCGUAAUGAUGGCCAGGCUGUCUCCACCCGAGACUCAGUGAAAUUGAACUCGCUGUGAAGAUGCAGUGUACCCGCGGCAAGACGGAAAGACCCCGUGAACCUUUACUAUAGCUUGACACUGAACAUUGAGCCUUGAUGUGUAGGAUAGGUGGGAGGCUUUGAAGCGUGGACGCCAGUCUGCGUGGAGCCAACCUUGAAAUACCACCCUUUAAUGUUUGAUGUUCUAACGUUGGCCCCUGACCGGGGUUGCGGACAGUGUCUGGUGGGUAGUUUGACUGGGGCGGUCUCCUCCCAAAGCGUAACGGAGGAGCACGAAGGUUAGCUAAUCCUGGUCGGACAUCAGGAGGUUAGUGCAAUGGCAUAAGCUAGCUUGACUGCGAGCGUGACGGCGCGAGCAGGUGCGAAAGCAGGUCAUAGUGAUCCGGUGGUUCUGAAUGGAAGGGCCAUCGCUCAACGGAUAAAAGGUACUCCGGGGAUAACAGGCUGAUACCGCCCAAGAGUUCAUAUCGACGGCGGUGUUUGGCACCUCGAUGUCGGCUCAUCACAUCCUGGGGCUGAAGUAGGUCCCAAGGGUAUGGCUGUUCGCCAUUUAAAGUGGUACGCGAGCUGGGUUUAGAACGUCGUGAGACAGUUCGGUCCCUAUCUGCCGUGGGCGCUGGAGAAUUGAGGGGGGCUGCUCCUAGUACGAGAGGACCGGAGUGGACGCAUCACUGGUGUUCGGGUUGUCAUGCCAAUGGCACUGCCCGGUAGCUAAAUGCGGAAGAGAUAAGUGCUGAAAGCAUCUAAGCACGAAACUUGCCCCGAGAUGAGUUCUCCCUGAGACUAUAAGUCUCCUGAAGGAACGUUAAAGACGAUGACGUUGAUAGGCCGGGUGUGUAAGCGCAGCGAUGCGUUGAGCUAACCGGUACUAAUGAACCGUGAGGCUUAACCUUACAACGCCGAAG
rnacentral:rRNA from 1 species